rnacentral:rRNA from 1 species
CCUGGUUAUCAAAAACAUGGCCUUUUGAUUUUAAUUUAAGGUCUAACCUGCCCACUGAAUUUGUUUAAAGGGCUGCGGUAAUUUGACCGUGCUAAGGUAGCAUAAUCAUUAGUUUUUUAAUUGAAAGCUGGAAUGAAUGGUUGGAUGAAAAAAUAACUGUCUCUUUUUAAAUUAUUGAAUUUUAUUUUUAAGUAAAAAAGCUUAAAUGAUUUUGAAAGACGAGAAGACCCUAUAGAGUUUUAUAAAUUUAAUUUAAAAUGUUUUAGUAAUUUAAAUUUUUAUAUGAAAAUUUAUUUGAUUGGGGUGAUUGAAAAAUUUAAUAAACUUUUUUUUUAUUGNAACAUAAGUAAGUGAAUAUUUGAUCCAUAAAUUAUGAUUAUAAGAUUAAAUUACCUUAGGGAUAACAGCGUAA